rnacentral:rRNA from 1 species
CCUAGUACGAGAGGACCGGAGUGAACGAACCUCUGGUGUUCGGGUUGUCACGCCAGUGGCACUGCCCGGUAGCUAAGUUCGGAAUCGAUAACCGCUGAAAGCAUCUAAGCGGGAAGCGAGCCCUGAGAUGAGUCAUCCCUGACCCCUUGAGGGUCCUAAAGGGCCGUUGGAGACCACAACGUUGAUAGGUGGGGUGUGUAAGCGUAGCGAUACGUUGAGCUAACCCAUACUAAUUACCCGUGAGGCUUAACCAUACAACACCCAAGAAGUGUUC